rnacentral:rRNA from 1 species
ACGGGAAAACUUACCAGGUCCAGACACGGGGAUGAUAAACAGAUUGAGAGCUCUUUUUUGAUUCUGUGGGUGGUGGUGCAUGGCCGUUCUUAGUUGGUGGGUUGCCUUGUCAGGUUGAUUCCGGUAACGAACGAGACCUCAGCCUGCUAAAUAGUCACAUAUCCUUUUUGGAUAUGCCUGACUUCUUAGAGGGACUAUUGUCGUUUAGGCAAUGGAAGUGUGAGGCAAUAA